GACGAACGCUGGCGGCGUGCUUAACACAUGCAAGUCGAACGGAAAGGCCCUGCUUGCAGGGUACUCUAGUGUCGAACGGGUGAGUAACACGUGUGUGAUCUGCCCUGCACUUCGUGGUAAGCCUGCGAAACUGUGGCUAAUACCGGAGAUGAGCCAUUUUUAUGGUUAGUGUGGGAAAGUUUGUUCGGGGUGGUGUGAGCUCGCGGCCUAUCAGCUUGUUGGUGGGGGAAGGGCCUACCAAGGCGGCGGAGGGUAGGCGGCCUGGGAGGGGGGACGGGCAAAUUUGGAAUGGGAUAAGGCCCAGAAUCCUAAGGGGGGCAGGCGUGGGGAAUAUUGCACAAUGGGGGGGAGCCUGAUGGAGCGAAGGCGCGUGGGGGAUGAAGGCCUUCGGGUUGUAAACUCGUUUCGGUAUGGAAGAAGGUUUUUGUGACGGUAACUAGAUAAGAAGCACCGGCUAACUACGUG
rnacentral:rRNA from 1 species